ACCAGCUGCGAUAGCACUUUGAAUGUACCAGUUCCCAAAGGAUCACUUAAGGAAACGUUGCACGUGGUUAGAAUCCGGAUGGGUGACCAUCUGGACAAUCGCGUCCUGCUGGCU
rnacentral:rRNA from 1 species